UUGUUGCUGCUCUGGAUGCUCUAACAAUUCACGACACUUUUGCCUUCUAUUUAUGCGUCCUUUAAAUAUUCAUGAGCUCAUAAUGUAAAGCUGAUGUAAGUAAGUGGUGUGGUCCCUGAAUAAUAAUGAAACAACAAAUGUCAUAAAUGUGAAUAACUGGGUUAAUGUUCGUACCCAACAAAUGUCUUGGGCUAAGAAUUAUAUGCAAUGUUAAGGGGUAUAUAACUGUCUAAAGUUUUCCUAGAGGAUUUCCUUACUAAAUACUCUCGUCUCAAUCUAUACGUCUCACUUUCCUUUUUAGUCAGUCCCAAAAGAAUGACGUAUUUCUAUAUUUAGUAACAAUUCAACUUUAAAAUGCUCAUAUUACCCUUAGUGAAAUGAUUUAUAGCCACAAAAAUAUGUGAAUUAUUUUAGACCACAAGUUUCAAAGUCUAUCUUUCUUUCUUCAACUUUAUGCCAAGUCAAAUUACAUCACAUAAAUUGGGACGGAGGGAGUAGCAAAUGUCAAAUGCUUACUGACAUGAAUGUCCAUUAUCUGUGUAGUACAGGGAUUAAAUUAGAAGAUAGUGAAUCAGGACGAGGUUUGAGUCUGAAUAACUAGAGGGUAUCACUUCACAAAAACAUCAUUCCAUAUGUGUCUUGUUACCAAGCUCACUGAUACAGAGCAACUCUGUUGAAUGAGUUAUCAUAGGGUAACAGUACUUCAGGAGUACUGAUGAGACCUGAACAUUAUAACAAGCACAUUAAACCCCACAAGUAGUGCAGUGCAGAGAAACUUUCGUGCCUAUGAGUAUUAUACUUAUAUAUACUAUAUGCUUUAGAAGGAAUGGAAAGAGGAUUAUGCUAGUGUAUCAAGACAAUCUUUUUAUAUUUGUUAUUUGAGAAAUAAAUUUAUUUAUAAAGAUUUAGAUCUACAGACUAUUAUGAACAAUUAAAAUGGGUGUAUGCAAACUUGAAAUAUAAAUGAGAGAGUGUUAAGACUUGAGAGUUAUAUUAACAAAGAAUAAAUGUUUUGAUUGACUUUGCCUUCCUAUGCUAAGUGAUUCUUUUGAUUCUAUAGACAUCUCUUAUUCCCGUCCAACUAAAUGAUCCAAAAGAUGCCAAGAGAUUCCUGAGAAUUUUCACAGAAAAAGCACAUACUGCAGAGAGAAUCAAACUUACUAGCAUCAAAGAUCGUAGGUUCAAAAAAAUUAGAAGUUGACCAAUUUCAUCAUCUUCCCAAUCAUCAAAAUUUCUCCUGAAGUGAGUCUUCAUUCCUCCUCUGUCUAGCAUUCUGCAAUUGUACACUGUUUUUUUCCUGGUUAAACUAUACAAUGUAGGAUAUUGUUCAUCACUUUUUCUUCUCCCAGCCAAACAUCUUGUCAAAGAUCUGAUUCUUCUCCCAUCACCAACUUCCAAUGAGAUGUAUUUCUGAAAUUCUGACCAUAAUCUACCUAUUUGCUCCCAUACGCCACUUUUUGUAGGUGUAGACACUACAGGGUGUCCAGAACCCUUCUCUAAUGUCAAUAAGCUUCUUGCAGGUUUCUCUCCAUUCACAUUGUAUCUUCACAACCAUUUUGAACAACAAACUCUUGUUGUGAAGUUUCAAAUCUUUUACUCCCAAACCUCCACCUUGCUUACCUUUUAUAACCUCCAGCCAUUUUACCAGAUGAACGUUUUCAUUUCAGCAUUUCCUUCCCAAAGAAACUGACUUCUCAUGGAGUUUAACUUCUUUUAUCAUCUAUUUCCCUCCAGUAGGGUUUUUAUACUACUAAUGUUUUGGGGCAUCCGGACAGUUAGAUUCCAGCUAAUCCACAUUGCUGAAGGUACUGUCUUUUUUGUUCUUGUGCUUCAUUUAUCCUAUGCUGGGUGGGGACUUGUGUAAUGCCGCAGUGGUGUGCUCCUUCUAACUAAACAUCAUUCUCACUCAACUUUGCAACCUUCUUCUUUUCUUCAAAAACCACUUUUUUUUUUCUUUUUGUUGGUUAGACUUAGCAAAGGUAGGGGUAAGGCUUCGUACAGACCACCCUCCUUAGACCCCAUUUGUGGGAUUACAUUGUUUUUUAUUUUAUUGUUCAAAAACCAAUAUAGUCGGGUGAAAAGUGUCAAAAACAUUCCGAUCUAAAUCAGAUAGCUAUAUUUGUGUCAAAUCAAUGUUAUUUCCUCCUGUCAAGUACCACAUUUUAUGGUAACUUAUUGUUUUUUUUUGUUGGUUGUUUUUUCAUGGCUGUUGCAUAAGUACCUUUCAUAUGCUUAUUCCUUCUUCGAGUACUAUAUUCGUUCCAUCUGUGAUCUCUAUAAAUAGUAGUCUGAGGAAUGCUUAUUAAAGGUCUCGUCUUUGCAUUCAAUGCAUCUCCAUAACAAGAAUUGGGAUGCAGGUUAUAGUUGUGGUCAAGUCAUUAGUCUCUUGAAUUCUGAGAGAGCCUUUUAAGUAUUUGUAGGUUAAUAUUUAGCUCCAACUUCUUACAAUUCUCACUAUUAGAUGACUGGUUUGCAGAAAUAGUGCUCCUCUUGCAUUUAAGAACUAUAGGGUAUUAGACCUUACCAAGCGUCUUCCACUAUUUUUCAUUUUACGCACACAUGCAUGUGGGUACUAAAUGGUAAGUUUUCUUUAAGAAAGAUCUAUUUGGCAAA